UACGAAGGGUGCAAGCGUUACUCGGAAUUACUGGGCGUAAAGCGUGCGUAGGCGGUUUGUCGCGUCUGCUGUGAAAACUGGAGGCUCAACCUCCAGCCUGCAGUGGUACGGGCAAACUAGAGUGCGGUAGGGGAGAUUGGAAUUCCUGGUGUAGCGGUGAAAUGCGCAGAUAUCGGGAAGAACACCCGUGGCGAAGGCGGCUACUCUGGGACGGUACUGACGCUGAGGCGCGAAAGCGUGGGGAGCAAACAGG
rnacentral:rRNA from 1 species